rnacentral:tRNA from 1 species
UAGGAAAUCGGGAGUCGAACCCGCACCAUAAAAUCCAAAAUCUUAUGGUACUUCCAAUAUUAUACUAUCCCCUA